UACAGAGGGGGCAAGCGUUAUUCGGAAUUAUUGGGCGUAAAGGGCGCGUAGGCGGCUUUGCAAGUGACGGGUGAAAUCCCUCGGCUUAACCGAGGAACUGCCUGUCAGACUGCAUGGCUUGAGACCGGGAGAGGUGAGUGGAAUUCCCCAGUGUAGCGGUGAAAUGCGCAGAUAUCAGGAGGAACACCGAGUGGCGAAGGCAGCUCGCUGGGACGGUACUGACGCGUGA
rnacentral:rRNA from 1 species